rnacentral:rRNA from 1 species
CCUACGGGAGGCAGCAGUGGGGAAUAUUGGACAAUGGGCGAAAGCCUGAUCCGGCAAUGCCGCGUGAGUGAUGAAGGCCUUAGGGUUGUAAAGCUCUUUUACCCGGGAUGAUAAUGACAGUACCGGGAGAAUAAGGCCUGGCUAACUCCGUGCCAGCAGCCGCGGUAAU